ensembl:lncRNA
CUCCUGGGAUGUGGAAAGUGGUUCAGAAGAAUAAGCAGAAUUUUUCAGGGUGCCAAGAAAUCCUCAAAAAAAAAGAAAGAAAGAAAACACAGAGGCCUCUUUGCAGAAAACAGUUAAUAAAUUAUCAAGCAACUUUUCUCUUGGAGCUGCAUUCACAGGUUGUAAUAUCCAAUGUGUCCACAGGAGGGCAGUAUUUACCACGAAUUAAAGCAGACUCUCCAGGUCGUCCUCUAACCCUUAAGAUACUUUAUCUGCCAAAAGAAAUUUAUUAAGAAAUAUCAACUGGGGUUUCCAACUUUUACUUUUCAAAGGCACAAAUAAUAGCCAUCAUAUGUUUCAGAUCACUCUGAGACGACCAGUGUUAUCAAACUCCAGCACCCUCCAAAACAUUUUGUAGUUUGCUUUCUCACAGAAAAAUGCAAGAAGAGUUAUUAAGAUGUGGAAAAUUAAAAAGGAGAGAAGAAAGCAAUGGAGGGAGGGAAAGAGAGAAAGGAGAAAAGUAAGAGAAGCCUGAGAACCAUUACGGCUUUCCUGUUCCCUGGGGAUCCAAGGGCUCUGGUUUAGAGAAACCCUAAUUUUAGCCAAAGGAGCCCGGAGUUCUUGCCAUGGUAGGGUCGUCCCAUUUUCCUUUUCAAAGUAGGACAGACAUUCUUCCUUGGAUGGAACUUUCUAACUGAGCCUAUGUUUGGGAAGUGCUAAAUGUGUGUUAAGAAGAUUAUCUAGCUCAGGGAAUUUUCUCAUCACAAGUUCUUGGCCAAUGAUAAUUGUUUUGCAGUUGAAGUGGUGGUAUUUGGCAUCCGCUGAAUUUGUGUCUACCUACAUUUUGGUGACAUAAGCUUAGAGGGAGGAGACAUCAGGUCAAUUCAAGGCAAGACGAACCUAGUCAUCUUGACCAGACUGUAAUACGCUUGAGGUCAGGGACUUCAUGGCAAAUGUCAUUUUUCCUCCAGUGCCAGUGUAGAGCUUGGCACAUGGUAUAAAGGAGACGAUGAUAAUGCAUUAAAAACUGAGAUUAACAAAGAGUAUUAAUUUUCCAGUGUCUGUGACCCAAGGUAUCAUGGAAACGGGCAACGUACUAUAUAUUCAUUUGCAUAUGAUCUGUGUUUAAUUCCCAAGUUAAGAUUUUAAUAGUCAACAAAAUUCAGAGGAUUGGAAAAGGAAUAUUGUGCAUAUUCUCCUAUUUCGUUACACAGGUCCACUCUGGGGGCUGGUAAAAUAUCGGCCACAUGUUGGCCACGCCGUCACCUGCAGUAAAAAUACUGGCCGCCAGAUAGUGUAAUUGCCGUGUGUGUGCUUAGCCGCUCAGUCGUGUCCCACUCUUUGUCACCCCGUGGACUGUAGUCCGCCAGGCUCCUCUGUCCAGGGGGAUUCUGCAGGAAGAAUACUGGAGUGGGUUGCCAUGCCCUCCUCCAAGGGAGCUUCCCAAUCCCGGGGUUGAAAUCAGGUCUUCCGAAUUGCAGGUGGAUUCUUUACCAUCUGAGGCGCCAGGGAAACCCAACGGCCUUUCUGUUUAUCUCUCCUCUGCUGCCGUGUCCCUUCAGGUGGGUCUCUGAGUGCUGGUCUCUGCUGAUGAGACUAAAUGGCCUUCAAAUUCAUUUUAAUUACUAAACCUGGGAAGAGGAGAAAAUAAUGGACAGAAUGAUAGAGUUACAGCCAGACUCUUCACCUUUGAGUUCAUCUGAGAUUCAGGUUGAUUUUAUUGGAGGAGACAGAGAAGGAAACACAGUUUCAGAAGCUCAGUUCCUAUUUCUAACAGAAUCAAUGAGCUAGAGGGUGAAGUGUUUCCCGCCCUGGCU